rnacentral:ribozyme from 1 species
AAAAAGAAGGACAAAAAGGAGAAGAAAGAGAAGAAAGAGAAGAAGGCCAAGGCCUAAAUAUAACUCUUCGGCCAGGCCUUUACCUGUCUUUUUGAUUCUCUCAUUUGAGAGCAUCUAUUGUAGUUUGCGUU